rnacentral:lncRNA from 1 species
GCGAAAAAAUGGAUGGAACUGAAGACCAUCAUGUUAAGAGAAAUAAGCCAGACUUGGAAAAGCAGACGUCUCAACUUUCCACAUAAGAAGAAUCGUGUGUGUGCUUGGAGGUGCUGACUAUAGAAGAGAGGCCAAAGUGAAUGGAGGAAAAGGUGGGAAGAGAGGAUUAUGGGGAAAGACAAAAUGUUGCAAUGUUUUCUUAUUGUUGAGUCUACAUCAGUAUCUAUAGCUAUGACAUAGAAGAGGAAGGGUAACUGUUCUGGGGGAGAGCUGGCCAGUGAGGGAAGGCAGGAAGGGACAGAAGAGAAGGGUAGGUAAACACAAACAAAUUACAAUUAUGUGCGUGCGUGCGUGCGCACACGCUACGUAAAACAAUAAUAUGAAAAGAAUAGAACCUGGAGGAGGAAGAAGAGUCAAAACUGAGAAAACCACAAAUACCUACAGCUCAGUGAGAUUAUGAGUCCCAUUUCGAUGAGCAUCAUGGGAGUGGAAGGUCAAGGUCUGGCAUGGGACUUGCCUCUCUGUGAGGUUCCUGCACCAUAGAGAUAUAAAGCUCAAAAGAUAUCGCAACGUAGAAUCACAGGUGGGUUUUCCACUUGCAGUCUUCUGUCGACCCCUAUUUUUAAGUUAAAAGCCUAUUACUUUAAAAUCACAAAUAACUGAAUUGCUUUGUGUACCUUCGGAAUAACUGUAAAGUAUGGCAAAGUAUAACGGAACCAUUAUCUAGCAGAAUGUGGCGGCUCACGCCGGUAAUUCCAACGCUCAAGACACAAAGGAAGGGGAAAUGACUCAACUUUGAGAGCUGGCUGUUCGACACAGCGAGUUUCAAAUCAGUAGGGCUAAGUAGAGAGACCCUGCCUCAUAGAAUACCGAAACAAAGAAAACCUUAUUUUCGGGAAUCAACACAGGUUUCACGCUGCCAAAUAGCGCCACCUAGUGUAACAUCUGCACCUCAGGGAAAGUGCAAGCUAUGAGCCUCCCAGAUUUGGGGGAAAUGCAGUGGUCAGCACAUCGGGAUACCGUGAUGAGCCUCGCCUGAGAACACCAACUUCAUGACCACGGCCGCUCCCUCGCCGGGUGACCAUCUAUCUGCACACGGAUUUCUCCUCUACGUUAAGUAGGAUCACAGGUGUUUGGUUUUAGGGGGUUCUUUAAAUUUAUUUUUGUUUUACGUGUCCGGGCAUUUGCCUGCACGAUCUAUACCACUUACCUGAUACCUCUGGAGGCCAGAAGAGGGUGUCAGAUCCCUUGAAACUAGAGUCACAGGCAGCAGUGAGCAAUCAGGUGGAUAUUGGGAAUCAAACCCAGGUCCUCUGGACGAGCAGCCAGUGCUCUUAACCACUGAGCCAUCUCUGUCACCCCUGGAGUCAUGUUGUUGUUCAGUCACAUUUAUUUAUUUAUUUAUUUAUUUAUUUACUUACUUAUUUAUUUAUCGU